GCAGCAGGGCCCCGCUUUCCUCUCCCUUAGUUGCCUGGUAACGCCGUCAGUGAAGUAGCAGAAGGGAGCGAGGGUGUCCCCCUGAAAUUGGCCCCGCUACGGCGGCGAGGAGCACUGGCCGGGCACGCACCCCGCCGGUCUGCGCUGGGAUGAUGCUGGAGCAGGACACCGGCCUCUCCUUGGCCAUCGCGCAGAUCGUGCAGCGGCUGAAGGGCUCCAGCCUUCAUUCCCAGCUGGAGCGGCAGGCCCGGGGUAGUCUACACAAACCAGAAAUUAAACUUGAAUCACUAAAGGAAGAUAUUAAGGAAUUUCUGAAGACCUCAGGAUGGGAAAAGAGGCUUCAGAAUGCUGUUUAUAGUGAACUCAAUGUGUUCCCUUCACCCUGUCAUCCUGCAGCACCCCCUGAGCACAUGAAGGAACCCUUAGUUUACAUGAGGAAAGCACAGGGAAGCUGGGAGAAGCGAAUUCUGAAGAGUCUAAAUAGCAUGUGCACAGAACUCAGUAUCCCAUUAGCACGAAAGAGACCGAUAGGAGAGCAAAAAGAACUUCUUAAUAAAUGGAGUGAAAUGGGAACUGAUGAGCCAGAUCUAACUCUCUUCCGACCUGUUUAUGCACCUAAAGAUUUUCUUGAGGUACUGAUGAAUCUUCGCAACCCAAAUUAUGAACAUGGGGAUCAGCCUAGUUUCAGAAAUCACCUGGGCCUAAUUCAGGUUCCUCUAAAAGUUAAAGACAUCCCUGAACUGAAAGAUUAUUUCAGUGAGCUAGGCUUGAAUACAGGACAGCUGGGUAUUGAUGAUUCUACACAAGUGCCUCCAGAACUCUUUGAAAAUGAACAUGUACGUGUUGGGCAAACAGUUUUAACAGAACAAGAUAGUGCUGCAGCCCAACAGUAUGUCCGUCAGGGAUGCCCAACAGCACUUCGAGCUGAAUUGUGGGCACUCAUUCUGAAUAUUUCUAAUCAGCCUGAGGACAUUUUGUACUACGAACAGCUUAAGUCCAAUGUGAUUCAGCAUGAUCUUUUAGUGGACAGCCUGAUUUACAAAGAUGUAAAGCUGACAGCAAGCAAUGAUGACUACUAUUUUGUAUUUGAGGAUUAUUUAUAUCAGGUACUACUCUGUUUUUCCCGAGAUACAUCAAUACUGGAGCACUUUUCUUACAAUAGCGCUACUCCACCCAAAUCAUACAUACGAGGAAAACUUGGCAUGGAAGAAUAUGCAGUUUUUUAUCCACCAAAUGCCAUGUCACCUAUGGGAAGUGAGAUGAUUUGGAAAAGAGAGGAAAACAGACAACACAACUGCCAAGAUGUCUACAUGUCUUUACUGGGUGUAAUUCCUUUUCACGGCUUUUCAAUGUAUGUUGCUCCACUUUGUUUUCUGUACCAUGAACCUUCCAAAUUGUAUCAGAUAUUCCGUGAGAUGUAUGUGCGUUUUUUCUUCAGACUCCAUUCCAUCUCUUCUCAUCCUUCUGGCAUUGUGUCACUAUGUUUGCUGUUUGAGACACUUCUUCAAACCCAUCUCCCUCAGCUUUUCUAUCAUCUUCGAGAAAUUGGGGCGCAACCACUACGAAUAUCGUUUAAAUGGAUGGUACGAGCAUUCUCUGGUUACUUAGCUACAGACCAACUUCUGCUUUUGUGGGACAGAAUCCUAGGAUACAAUUCUCUAGAAAUUCUCGCUGUCCUGGCAGCUGCUGUGUUUGCUUUCCGAGCAGUGAACCUGAUGGAGGUGACAUCACUGGCUGCAGCCGAAGCUGUACUUGCUGACCUUUCAACCCUGAAGGUUAUGCCUCUUCUUCAGAUCUUCCUGUUUGCUACUGUCACUUGAUCUGUUUCAAGGUCACUGACACUGCACAUCCAGUCUUUCAUUAGAAACUAAUAAUGAACUAUGCAACGUCUGCAUAAAACCAAAUUAAACUCCUUUCUAGAUGUCUGUCACUAAGUAUCAAAGGAUGAGAGUUUGAAAAGUGCCUAAGAGAGUCUUGCCUUGCAAAAAGUGCUGGAUAUAGCUUCCUCCAGAACUGUCAAAGCCUAGCUUUAGGUGAGCCAAAGCAGUUGCAGGAGAAUGUGCUCAUCACAACCUUCCAUAUGGAGCUGGCUAACUGGGGAAAAAAAGGGACUUGCACCUUUAAGGAAUCCCUUAUAAUGGGUGUGGUGGAGGGGUGAAGCUUACAGGGAUGGACAGGAAAAGGGCUGGGAGCAGGGCCAGGUUUGGAGAAGGACAUUGCACUGCCCUUUCUGCUGACAGGAAGAGCAGCAGUGAGGGGGGGGAGGUAUUUAUUCCCUAUACAGCCAUGGCUGACACCCACCUAUGAACUCAGCAAACCUCUUGACUCUCUGUGGGCAUUACAGUAGUUGCCCCUUUCCUUGGGGCCUGGGAAGGAAUUUUUCCCUCUCCACUAGAUUGGCUAAAGUGAGGUGGUGGUGUGGGGGGGAGGGGGUUGUCUUUCCACAACUGGUCUGGUUCCCAGUGAGGGGAAGCAGAGGGGUUAGGUUAUAAUGUCACAACUUAGUAUGUAAAACUAAUUGUGAAUGUGCUGUGCAAGUACUCGUUAUGGAACGGAUACCAUUAUCAGAUAAAAUGGUUUGGAAAAAGAUUGGAAGGAAAGCAUCGUGUAAAGGGGUUUGGGGGACUCCUACGUCUUCUACAGUGGGGAACUGACGCUCUUCAUUUUCCUAGGCCCCUUUCAGGAAGCCAAGGAAGGGGGCUUGGGGCUCCUAUGUCUGGAACAGUCAGGAGCUGACUCCCCUUCUUUUAUAGCAGGGUUUCUCAAACUGGGGGUCGGGACUCCUCAAGGAGUCAUGAGGUUAUUACAUGGGGGGGAUCGCGAGAUGUCCGCCUCCACCCAAAACCCUGCUUUGCCUCCAGCAUUUAUAAUAGUGUUAAAUAUAUAAAAAGUGUUUUUAAUUUAUAUGAGGGGGUCGCACUCAGAGUCUUGCUAUAUGAAAGGGGUCACCAGUACAAACAUUUGAGAACCACUGUUUUAUAGCGUCUUCCCCCCCGCCCCCUUUCACCUCAUAUAAGGAGAGGGUGAAAAGGUUCCAGCAAUGGGAAUGCUGGGACAAGGUUGGAGGUUAUAUGGAUAAUUAAGAAAACGAUGACCUGGACUGUACAAUUUGUUGCCGGGUACUGCCAGAUAUAUUAAGUGAAUAAAGUUGCAACCUAAUGAAACAA